rnacentral:misc_RNA from 1 species
GCAAACUUGGUCAUUUAGAGGAAGUAAAAGUCGUAACAAGGUCUCCGUUGGUGAACCAGCGGAGGGAUCAUUAAAGAGUUAUUACAACUCCUAAACCCAUGUGAACCUACCUUUGUUGCCUCGGCAGGUCUGCAGCUUACCCCGUGGUACCCUACCCUGUAGGUACCUUACCCGGUAGUUGCAGGUAGAACCUGGCGGUGGUCUAUUAAACUCUGUUUACUAUGUUAUUCUGAAUAAUAUAACUAAAUACGUUAAAACUUUCAACAACGGAUCUCUUGGUUCUGGCAUCGAUGAAGAACGCAGC